rnacentral:rRNA from 1 species
GCGAAAACUUUACAAUGCUGGCAACAGCGAUAAGGGAACCUCGAGUGCCAGGUUACAAAUCUGGCUGUCGAGAUGCCUAAAAAGCAUUUCGUAGCAAGGGCCGGGCAAGACCGGUGCCAGCCGCCGCGGUAACACCGGCGGCUCGAGUGGUAACCGUUAUUAUUGGGUCUAAAGGGUCUGUAGACGGCCGGAUAAGUCUCUUGAGAAAUCUGGCAGCUUAACUGUCAGGCUUUCAGGAGAUACUGUCUGGCUCGAGGCCGGGAGAGGUGAGAGGUACUUCAGGGGUAGGGGUGAAAUCUUGUAAUCCUUGAAGGACCACCAGUGGCGAAGGCGUCUCACCAGAACGGACCUGACGGCAAGGGACGAAAGCUAGGGGCACGAACC